ACUGUGGUUUCCAGUGUAAAUGUAGUCUGGAUGAAAUGUGUAGUCCCCAUAUAGGGUGUGUCAAAAUAAGUACCGCAUCCACUUUUUCUACAAAAACCAAAGCCGGAAACUACAUGAAGUCCACUCAAAACUCCAUAAAACCGGAAACUGACGCUGCAAGAAAUAACAUCUCUUGUAUGUCCAAUUGAUUAUGAAAAGACCAAAUUUCAUUUAGUUUUCUGCAUGUAUUAAGCAUUUCAUAUUUCAGUGAAAGGUACAAAAAUUUAAAUGCAUACAAAAACCCAUUCUUGGACAUCUUUUGUUUUCAAUGUUGUCUUCCCAUGUUUCAUAGUAACAAAAUGUGAACUUAAUAUUUUAUUUCACUAAUGAUUUUCUUCCUUUUUUCAAAACAUUAUCUGCUGCAUUGACUAACAAAUCAUUCACUUCUAUUUCCCUUUACUUCUCUUCUGUCAUUUCAACACCAAUCUAUGUGAUGAAAUAGUUUAACGUACAGAAAAGUCGUUUUAAAGGUGACAAUGUAUAAACCUGACAAUAUAGGCAGGUUUUUGAAAGUUUGCAUAUGUAAAAAUAAUAUACGUAGCAAUUCUCAAACUAAAUUUAGAAACUACUUUCAAUGGAGAAAAAUAUUACAUGAACAAUUCCAGUUAUUCAAUGGCUGUUUUUGAAUUCUAUAAAUCCAUCAAAUAAAGUACAUGUACACGGGAAAAGGUAAGUAAAUCAAAGAUGUUUUUUUUCUUUUUCGUUUAUCUACCCGUCUCACGUAGUCUUUGUAGCUGAUAAAUCCUAUUCCCUAGAAAUAAAAAAGAUGUCAACUUAUUAUUAUUAAACUAUUAUGACAUGAAAUCCUGGGAAAUGAUUACACAGAAGUUGAACUGGUGCUUGAAAUGAACAACUGGCUUCACUGGACGUUAUACAGAUAAAUUACUAUUCAUUUAAAAUAUCAAUUCUGUAUUUUCAUAUUAUGUUGUGUCUAUUUUACGAUGCCUCGUUCGAUAUUAGAAUUGAAUGAUAGGGCGUUCCAUUUAUCUAUUCUGAUCAUCCUCACAAAGCAUCCAUGACUAAAACUUCGUGUAGUUUCGGAUAAAUCUCUGUUUAUCUUAAUAUUGAUGUUCCAAGAUUAAAUAGCGUACAUGUUAUCCGAAUUUCAAUGCCCAAGACAUUGUUCACCACCAUUUUCUUACCACUUUUAAACCCGACGGUCAAUCUGGAAUUCACGCGAAGGUUAAAUUCGGCAAAAACGCAAACAAACAGGUGUAUCACAACUCUUAUAGCAAACCACAAAGUAGCAUGUCUGAAGUUGAAAUGGAAUGAAUGGUAAGUUAGGUGUCUUUAUUAUAUAACGAAUCAAACAUAUUUCAUUUAUUUGCUGUCGUGUACCAUUUCACUGCUUAUUACUUCUUUAUGCUAAAUAGAUGAUAUUUGGUGCAAGGAAUUAUAAGUAGUCUUUUUGAAACUGAGAUUUCUUAUUUUUGGUAUUAAAUAUUGUAAUGUAUUUCCCUCAGAUUUUUCCUUAUGGAGUUACCGAUAUAUCAAGAAUUUCAUAAUAUUUCUAUAGAUAUUCAACAAUUCAUUACGUAAAAUUCGAAUUAUUGGUGUCCAGAAUUCACCUGGUCUUUUCAUAUCAGUAAAAAGAUAGGAAUUUAAGGAGGGAUUUGGCUUCACUAACUGGAUCUUCAGGGUCAUCUUCAGAUGGUCUAGUCAUACAACCAUCAACAUGUGAUGCAAGUUUCUAUAAUCCAGAAGCUCGAUAUUUGCUGUGCUUCACGUACUUGAAAUGAAGUGUCCUCUCAAUAACGUGCAGCAGAUUUAACAAUAGAUGAUGCAAUGCAGUCGAAAGAUUGCAGAGUCUCAAGUCAACCUAUCCCCACUAUCACUAGAUACAAGGCUAGCUCCAUUUAUACAACAAUAUAUGUUGUGAUUUGAUUAUAUCGACUAGAGUAGAC